rnacentral:rRNA from 1 species
GACAGAGGAUGCAAGCGUUAUCCGGAAUGAUUGGGCGUAAAGCGUCUGUAGGUGGCUUUUUAAGUCCGCCGUCAAAUCCCAGGGCUCAACCCCGGACUUGCAGUGGGUACGGGCAGACUAGAGUGUGGUAGGGGAGACUGGAAUUCCUGGUGUAGCGGUGAAAUGCGCAGAUAUCAGGAGGAACACCGAUGGCGAAGGCAGGUCUCUGGGCCACUACUGACGCUGGAGAAGCGGAAAGCAUUGGGGAGCGAACAGG